rfam:Pteropus alecto contig8596, whole genome shotgun sequence.
GUCUAUGGCCAUGCUACCCUGAGCGUGCCCGAUCCUGCCUGAUCUCGGAAGCUAAGCAGGGUCGGGCUUGGUUAGUACUUGGAUGGGACACCACUUAGGAAGACCAGGUGCUAUAGGCA